rnacentral:rRNA from 1 species
UAGUCCACGCCGUAAACGAUGAUUACUAGUUGUUUGUGAUACACAAUAAGCGACAAAGCGAAAGUAUUAAGUAAUCCACCUGGGGAGUACGUUGGCAACAAUGAAACUCAAAGGAAUUGACGGGGGCCCGCACAAGCGGAGGAACAUGUGGUUUAAUUCGAUGAUACGCGAGGAACCUUACCUGGACUUAAAUGGGGAGUGACAUGCUUAGAGAUAGGCUUUUCUUCGGACACUCUUCAAGGUGCUGCAUGGUUGUCGUCAGCUCGUGCCGUGAGGUGUCAGGUUAAGUCCUAUAACGAGCGCAACCCCUGUUGUUAGUUGCCAGCGAGUAAUGUCGGGAACUCUAACAAGACUGCCGGUGCAAACCGUGAGGAAGGUGGGGAUGACGUCAAAUCAUCACGGCCCUUACGUCCUGGGCUACACACGUGCUACAAUGGUAGGUACAGAGAGCAGCCACUGCGCGAGCAGGAGCGAAUCUAUAAAACCUAUCACAGUUCGGAUCGGAGU